rfam:Setaria italica strain Yugu1 chromosome IV, whole genome shotgun sequence.
UGUUGUUGCCAUGAGGACAAACAAGCUCCCUCUUCUGAAUACAUUUGAGGAUGCUUGCUGGCCGAAUCGAACCAAUUAACCUUAUUGCCAUCACUGAGCAA